UCCCUCUGUGUACAGUGACGAUGCCAAUCCCUGGAUCGAGGUGGACCUCGUUGAGCCUACAGUGGUGAGCGGGGUCAUCACACAAGGCUACGCCUUUCGCCUUUGUCAUGUGAAGAAGUACAAGGUGGCAUAUAAGAAACAGCCCUCAUCUGACUAUGAAUACGUAACAGAUGGAAACGGAAAUAUCAAGGUGUUCAUCGGUAACACUGAUGGCCACACCCCGGUCACUAACCUGUUUGAUGGGAGUGUGGUGGCUACGGUAGUGCGCAUUGUGCCUACUGAAUGGCAAGAUGGCGUUGGUCAGCGAUUGGAGCUGGUUGAAUGUCGCCAUGAUUAAUUCAGUUGAAGCAUUCAGGUGAUUCUGUUCGACACCGCUGACAUUUCUUUCAAUGCCAUAUAAAUUCGACAUCUAUAUUGAAUAUUGAUUAUUAUUUUAUUUUUUUAAGUAUAUUUGGUAAGAGGAAUAUUUUUCAGAAAGUAAUAACAAACUGAGGAUUUGGAAUAAUCACUAAGGGCCCUUGCGUGAAUUUGUGUCUUGAGAAAAGUGAAAGCGAAGUACGUGUGAAAACUUGGCCUUGUGUAUCUCUUGAAAAGUUAUAGCGGUUUUCUUUUUUCUUUUUUUUCAUAGUAUUUUCGCUUUAAGCAGAAACGUCUAAAUUAUAAUUGAGGUACUUUGUUGUAGAGUAAAAACAAAAUGUAUAUUAAGCUGUGCUGCUAUCUUCAAUCUUCAAUACAAUGUAUUAUGUUCAUACAUUGUCCGAAUUUUAAAAAAAUUCUAUGAAAUGUUAAAAACGCAAUACAUAAUUGACCAAAACAUAAACCCACAAAAUCAAAGUGAAUUGUGGGAACUGGGAACCUCUCGAUAAUUGAAAUAUUUUAGGAAUCAAACUGUUUGAAUAAGGGCCGGUUCAUACUUCACUCGAAUUCGAUUGCGAAGCGCAUCUGACGUCAGGAUCAUUUGCCGCGAAAUUUGCCCGAGUUGAAAAGUGUGGUUUUUCUUUUGCCAACUCACAGCGCGGAAUAUUCCCGUGACAACACAGACUCGCGUUCGCGUUCGCUUUUGUGCCGAGUAUGAUGGGGCUUUUGCUUCUAGAUGUUAUUCACUGUGGUAUUUUGCUGUAAAUAUAAGACAAUUUAAGUCACGAUAUUAAAUCAUUGUACAAUAAUUUAGGUGUACAUUUUGGUGUUAGAUGUAUAGUGUAUUGUUACGGCAAAGUAACAUUUUAUUGCCAAUAUAUUGUAAUAUUGUUAGUACAGUGUUGGACAAUUUUAUCAAUGUGAUGCCUUAUUGCUGUGGAUGUACAGCUUUAUCAGAAUUCCAAAAUUACAAACAUGUAAAGGUCAAAUACAGUGGAAAUUAGCUUUUGUGAAUGAGGAACCUUAAGAGAAUAAAAGAGAAUAUUUCCCAAAUAUUCGUAGUUCCGUGUGAAUAUCGACGAGUUGUCAUAAAGAGAAGCUAAGAGGCAGCCAUCUUGAUCUCAUUGAAGGAUAUACCAAUAUUGUACAUAUAUAAUUCAAAUGCUGUUAUGUUCCUAUUUGUGAAAUAAAAAUGCCUAUAAAUAAA
rnacentral:lncRNA from 1 species